rnacentral:rRNA from 1 species
UACGUAGGGUGCAGGCGUUAAUCGGAAUUACUGGGCGUAAAGCGUGCGCAGGCGGUUUCUUAAGUCAGAUGUGAAAGCCCCGGGCUUAACCUGGGAACUGCAUUGGUGACUGGCAGGCUUUGAGUGUGGCAGAGGGAGGUAGAAUUCCACGUGUAGCAGUGAAAUGCGUAGAGAUGUGGAGGAAUACCGAUGGCGUAGGCAGCCUCCUGGGCCAACACUGACGCUCAUGCACGAAAGCGUGGGGAGCAAACAGG